UGAGGAAUAUUGGGCAAUGGGGGCAACCCUGACCCAGCGAUGCCGCGUGCGGGAGGACGCCUUUCGGGGUGUAAACCGCUUUUCUGGCUGAAGAGGAAGGACGGUAGGUCAGGAAUAAGUCACGGCUAACUACGUGCCAGCAGCCGCGGUAAUACGUAGGUGGCGAACGUUAUCCGGAAUUACUGGGCGUAAAGGGUCCGCAGGUGGAGGGGCAAGUCUGAUGUGAAAGCCCCCGGCUCAACCGGGGGAGGACGUUGGAAACUGCCCGACUAGAGUCCGACAGAGGUCGGCGGAAUUCCCGGUGUAGUGGUGGAAUGCGUAGAGAUCGGGAGGGACGCCAAAAGCGAAAGCAGCCGGCUGGGUCGAGACUGACACUGAGGGACGAAAGCGUGGGGAGCGAACAGGAUUAGAUACCCCCGUAGUCC
rnacentral:rRNA from 1 species